rnacentral:tRNA from 1 species
GCCCCAGUGGUGGAAUCGGUAGACGCGACGGACUCAAAAUCCGUUGUCCGCAAGGACGUGCCCGUUCAAGUCGGGCCUGGGGCACCA